rnacentral:rRNA from 1 species
GAUGAACGCUGGCGGCGUGCCUAAUACAUGCAAGUCGAGCGAACAGACGAGGAGCUUGCUCCUCUGACGUUAGCGGCGGACGGGUGAGUAACACGUGGAUAACCUACCUAUAAGACUGGGAUAACUUUGGGAAACCGGAGCUAAUACCGGAUAAUAUAUUGAACCGCAUGGUUCAAUAGUGAAAGACGGUUUUGCUGUCACUUAUAGAUGGAUCCGCGCCGCAUUAGCUAGUUGGUAAGGUAACGGCUUACCAAGGCGACGAUGCGUAGCCGACCUGAGAGGGUGAUCGGCCACACUGGAACUGAGACACGGUCCAGACUCCUACGGGAGGCAGCAGUAGGGAAUCUUCCGCAAUGGGCGAAAGCCUGACGGAGCAACGCCGCGUGAGUGAUGAAGGUCUUCGGAUCGUAAAACUCUGUUAUUAGGGAAGAACAAAUGUGUAAGUAACUAUGCACGUCUUGACGGUACCUAAGCAGAAGGCCACGGCUAACUACGU